rnacentral:rRNA from 1 species
AGUGAACGCUGGCGGUAGGCCUAACACAUGCAAGUCGAACGGCAGCACAGUAAGAGCUUGCUCUUACGGGUGGCGAGUGGCGGACGGGUGAGGAAUACAUCGGAAUCUACUUUUUCGUGGGGGAUAACGUAGGGAAACUUACGCUAAUACCGCAUACGACCUACGGGUGAAAGCAGGGGAUCUUCGGACCUUGCGCGAUUGAAUGGGCCGAUGUCGGAUUAGCUAGUUGGCGGGGUAAAGGCCCACCAAGGCGACGAUCCGUAGCUGGUCUGAGAGGAUGAUCAGACACACUGGAACUGAGACACGGUCCAGACUCCUACGGGAGGCAGCAGUGGGGAAUAUUGGACAAUGGGCGCAAGCCUGAUCCAGCCAUACCGCGUGGGUGAAGAAGGCCUUCGGGUUGUAAAGCCCUUUUGUUGGGAAAGAAAAGCAGCAGGUUAAUACCCCGCUGUUCUGACGGUACCCAAAGAAUAAGCACCGGCUAACUUCGUG